GAUGAACGCUGGCGGCGUGCCUAAUACAUGCAAGUCGAGCGAAGCGGGGACGGGUGUGUAACACGUGGAUAACCUCGUAUAAGAUUGGGAUCACUUCGGGAAACCGGAGCUAACCCGGAUACUUAACGAUGGAUCCGCGCUGCAUUAGCUAGUUGGUAAGGUAACGUCUUACCAAGGCAACGAUGCAUAGCCGACCUGAGAGGGUGUUGGGCCCAACGUGAACUGAGACACGGCCCCAACGCCUACGGUAGGCAGCAGUAGGGAAGCUUGCGCAAUGGGCGAAAGCCUGACGGAGCGACGCCGCGUGAGUGAUGAAGGUCUUCAGAUCUUAAAACACUUUUAGUAGGGAGACGUUACCUUAUCAGAAAGCCACGGCUAACUACGUGCCAGCAGCCGCGGUAAUUC
rnacentral:rRNA from 1 species